rnacentral:rRNA from 1 species
CCUACGGGUGGCAGCAGUGAGGAAUAUUGGUCAAUGGACGCAAGUCUGAACCAGCCAUGCCGCGUGCAGGAAGACGGCUCUAUGAGUUGUAAACUGCUUUUGUACGAGGGUAAACGCAGAUACGCGUAUCUGUCUGAAAGUAUCGUACGAAUAAGGAUCGGCUAACUCCGUGCCAGCAGCCGCGGUAAUACGGAGGAUUCAAGCGUUAUCCGGAUUUAUUGGGUUUAAAGGGUGCGUAGGCGGUCGGAUAAGUUAGAGGUGAAAUCCCGAGGCUCAACUUCGGAAUUGCCUCUGAUAACGUUCGGCGAGAGAGUAGUUGCGGUAGGCGGAAUGUAUGGUGUAGCGGUGAAAUGCUUAGAGAUCAUACAGAACACCGAUUGCGAAGGCAGCUUACCAAGCUACGUCUGACGUUGAGGCACGAAAGCGUGGGGAGCAAACAGGAUUAGAUACCCGUGUAGUC